AUAAGUUGUUCACAAUGUUUUUAUUGUGAAAUAUGUAGAUCUCAUGCGAAGAGAUAUUAUCCCUUUAUUGUGUGUGCAUGUGCAAUUUUUUUACUUUUUAUGACUGCAUUUUUGCCAGCUUUUCUGUUUCAAACAUAAUUUAUCCCUAGUGUUAAUUUUUGUCUCUCAGGGUAGUGUACCAAUAGACCAGGAAAACACUUUUUGUUGAUAGCAGCUGUAAUAUCAGUGAGCCACCACACCAUUACUACAGAGAUGGAAACACACCUACAAGGUACCCCAGAUAGAAUUUUGGCUCAUUUCUUAUGGAAGUAGUAACCAAGGACCAGACAUUGUGGGUGGGUGCUGAGGCUCUGAACGCCAUCUUUGAUGUGUUUGCAUUAUCUGGAACUGUUGUCAUGGAGAUCAGGAAAACAAACAAACUCCAGAACUUAUGGUACCACAGCUAAUAGCUAAGAUUAACAACAGAUGAGAAGCUUAGGAGACCACUUGACUAUCAGCAUAACAGGAAGGACAAAUCUCAUGUACUUCAUCAAAUGCAAAUCUUGACCAGUAGAUUAACUUGGACAUGUUUUUCUUCUUCUAAGUGACCUAAAACUCAGCAGUAAUGUGGAUCAGAGAAAUAAUUAGAGUGUACCACACCAAGUUCUGUAGUUUUCUGGUGUUCAGUCAGUUUUAUUUCAGGCAACACUGAUAUUUAGUAUUAAUAUUUUUUCAUUCUUUUUUUCACAACUUUUAUAAUAGUCCCAUUGAAUGAAAACUGUUGUUGAAAAUAUAGAUUAUUGGUUUAA